AGUUUUACUUCUUACUUUUCUGCCAGGGAUGUUUGAGCAGACAUCAAAACUGGAGGACAACAUGGCCAUUGAAGCAGCAUGGCAGCGCUUGAAUCCUUCCCUGCACUCUAGUACAGAGAAAAUGAAGUUUAGAGCCAAGGGACCUGGAGCUGGUGACUUGCGGCUAGACAUGGGCAAAGCUGGGUGCCUGCCUUUGAUUGAGGUGCCCAAGACCUGUGGCUACUC